rnacentral:pre_miRNA from 1 species
AUGUAGGAUAAUCUGUCUUUAAUUAGGGAUAAAUUAAUCUAAAUAAAAUAAAUCCUGAACAGUUUCUCUUUCAAGUCUCUCUUUUUUU